CUAAAGACUUUCAAUAGGGAAAUGCAUGUUCCUUAGGAGUGUUUUAAUCUAAACCAUGAUCGUUUACCUAAUCUUAACUAGUCAUUUUGGUGCCUAAUCUUAACUUCCGUCGUGGCAAAACGUUCAUAUUUUGUGGACUAAAUGUAGCUGUACUGUCCACCAAAACAAC